GACGAACCGUGCGAACGUUGUUCGGAAUCACUGGGCUUAAAGGGCGCGUAGGCGGGCGGGCAAGUCGGAGGUGAAAGCCCCCAGCUCAACUGGGGAAGUGCCCUCGAUACUGCCGGCCUGGAGGGAGGUAGGGGCGUGCGGAACUUCCGGUGGAGCGGUGAAAUGCGUAGAUAUCGGAAGGAACACCGGUGGCGAAGGCGGCACGCUGGGCCUCACCUGACGCUGAGGCGCGAAAGCCAGGGGAGCGAAC
rnacentral:rRNA from 1 species